AGAGUUUGAUCCUGGCUCAGGAUGAACGCUGGCGGCGUGCUUAACACAUGCAAGUCGAACGAGGUCCAACCUUCGGGUGAAGACCGAGUGGCGAACGGGUGAGUAACACGUGGGGAACCUGCCCUUCUCUCUGGGAUAACGUCGGGAAAUCGGCGCUAAUACCGGAUACUCCUUGCGGAUCGCAUGGUCUGCUCGGGAAAGCUCCGGCGGAGAAGGAUGGCCCCGCGGCCCAUUAGCUAGUUGGUGGGGUAACGGCCCACCAAGGCGACGAUGGGUAGCCGAGCUGAGAGGCUGAUCGGCCACACUGGGACUGAGACACGGCCCAGACUCCUACGGGAGGCAGCAGUGGGGAAUCUUGCGCAAUGGGCGAAAGCCUGACGCAGCAACGCCGCGUGCGGGAUGAAGGCUCUCGGGUCGUAAACCGCUUUCAGCAGGGAUGAAAUUGACAGUACCUGCAGAAGAAGCCCCGGCUAAAUACGUGCCAGCAGCCGCGGUAAUA
rnacentral:rRNA from 1 species